rnacentral:misc_RNA from 1 species
CAUUGAGUAAUACAGAGGGAUCUGGCGCCUCACUGACGUUCAGUUGGGUGCUCUCCAAGGGCGUGCCAGACGUGAUAGAGGAAUCGUCGUGUUCAUAUUGUUGUCACUUAAGCGCAAAAUAAAGAUAAGUAAACAGUUUGUUAGUAGGACCGUCUCUUACCAACAAGCAGCAAGAGGAGUUUCCCUACGCACACAUAGCCAUGUCGAAAGACCACACGAUACUAGACGCUCCUCCGAGCUACAACGAAGCCGUGUUCGGGGCCCCCGGCGCUUCGAACGGCUUCCAGCCAUCCUCGCCGCCCGUCGACGAGUCCUACAACCACCAGCUUGCGCCCCCGCCGGCCCUGCCCCCAGCCCCCUACGUCAGCGUCAGGCCCGAGCCUUCGUUCCCCCCGGAUCUGAGCCCUCUGCUCGCGUGCCAGGUGCUGACGGUGGGCAGCAAGAUGGGUUAUCUCAGCUACAAGAUAAAGAACAUGGCUGGCCUACAUGUUUUCACGGCCAAGGGUAGCAUUGAGGGAGACAUUUGCAACUGCUGUGAUCCCAAUGCAAGAUGGGUAGAAUUCGAUAUCAGAAACCUUAACAAAGUUCCCUUGGCGAAUUUCAAGGUCGUCAUGGAUGAAAUGGGGUGCUUCUUUUUCCCAAAAAUGCAUUUGGAUGUUUCAUACGUCCCGGACAUCCAAAUCGGCCAGGUGAGGGUACGGGGGAAGUUAGCCUAUGAUAUCACUAACAACGGAGGGGAUAUCAUACUGACAGUCGAGGGUGACGUCGGAUGCUGCGAGAUUUUGCCGUAUAAGAUCUGCACUCCCAAUGGGACCCAGGUUGGCGCCAUCGAGCGGGUAGACAGAAUCAAAAACAGAAUAUUCUUCCCCAUUGAUAUGGACAUCCGAGUUAAAGUUCAGCUUCUGGCGACAACUGUCUUCAUCUAGGGUGGCCGAAGAGGACUCGAUAUGCUGCCAGACGCACGAGAUCUUCGCGACUAGCUGUUUACGCGGCGGUUUUCCGUUGAAAUAUGUGCAAUAUUUAGAUGAAAGAAGACGAAAGAAAUAACAAGAAGACGAUUCAGUGCUGGCUCUCGUCGUUCACACUCUUCCUAGCUUUCUGCUCUCCCUCCCUCUCUCUCUCUCUCUCUCUCUCUCUCUCUCUCUCUCUCUCUCUCUCUCUCUCUCUCUCUCUCUCUCUCUCUCUCGUUACACGUGACCGCCCCGAAGCCCAUGGUUGGAUUAAUGAACACAAACUCCUGGAAAACAGGCGGAAAGUUCCUGGCAACUCCCUUCUUCGACUCGACAAUCUUUGCUUCCAGAGGGGAUAAGUUCCAAAUGCCCGGACCUCUACCAUUCAAGAACCAGAGUUCAAGAGUUCACAUACAGACAUCGCUCUGUAAAUGCAAUGCCUCUGCCUGUGUGCACCUGUUCGAAUUAUACUUGCCCAAUAGUGUCUUCAUCCCAUCGCGUGAGACCUACUAGAUUGCCUGCAACAGUACCUGAUGUACUAGCAGUGACUAGCACCUUGAACAUUUUUUAUAACGCUCCGACUACGCAACUACCAUUCUUCUGCUCUUAUUUAACUCUCUUAGACAUGUUUAGAACCCCUUGGGAAGAUUUAAAGCAAACUAAUGAAAUAUACCCUUGGCUCUUCAGUCUCCAUAAGGAUAGCAUCCCUCCCUUGUUGAGAGAUUAUGUUCCUCAAGUGCCUUCAUUCUCUCUAUUAUGUUUCCCAUUCUUCUUAUGUUGUUUUAUGUAUUCUGAACUUUUCUCACUGUUAAUGGCGACACUCUCAUUGAUACAGUUUUCUUUAUAUUCAGAUAUUAAAUAUAUGUGUACCUUUAGCAGAUAUUGAUUCACAGCAGUAGAUGGGAGUGAAGUCAUUCUUUAUGUUCUUAACCAAUACUGAUCCGCCCGUGGAAGAAUGGACAGGUAGUAGACUGCAGUGUUUGUCAAGCUAAACCUGUUGGACGUUACAAGGACUGUUGCAUACUGUUCGUAUUUUCCUUCAGAAGAUAUUGAAUAAGGUAGUUAUCAGCGACUCUUAGUUUCAUCUCAGAAGUCUUGCUUCUCCCCAAUUCAACAAAUGGGUUAAUCAGCUUUAGCUCAAGGGAAAUCCCCAACACUGAACUACUUGGGGAUUACUUUUGAUAUCGGAAUAACAGCUAAUAGUGAUACUCUUCAUCAUCUCACUAAGACCGUGCUUAGGCUGGCACUACCUGAUGCGGGUACUUCUUCCUUGCUUUUCUACCACAGAACGACGAUAUACUCAGCCACGCUUCUGCCCAAACCAUCCCAGGAAUAACACAUGAGUUCAGUUUAUCCAUCUCAUACCACGAUCAUUUACUUUGUAUAACUCACAACUAUCACCUACACGAACUUAGUAUUCGUUUGACAUUUUGUAGUUAUUUUUGCACAGCUGAAUUUCGGGGACAGGCUAAUCUAUAAGGGUUUCAAGGCGGGGAUGUGCUUUGCUUCCGUAAAACAACAUGAUUGCCUUGAGUGUUCCUCUAUCAAAGAGAUUUUCAUUAAUUGGUGUUACCAACGGUCCUCUUCCAGGUCUGUCGUUCCUAGGGCGUAAUACAUUGGUCAAAAGUAAAUUCUCUCUCUCUCUCUCUCUCUCUCUCUCAUCCUUCUUUCUUGUAGGUAUAGACAUCUGUUUUAUGCUAUAUCUAGAUUAUUUUAGGUAUAUAUGUUAUAAAACUCGUUAAAAAAUAUACAGUAUAUAUCAAC